GCAGACUCUCUGCUGAACAGGGAGCCAGACACUGGGCUCAAUUUCUGGACUCCGAGACCAUGACCCGAGCCAAAGGCAGACACUCGACCGACUGAGCCACCCAGGCGCCCCGCGCACAUCUCUUAUGAGAGCUGAUUGCUCCUUUACCACCACACCGCUGUCAUGUCAUGGACAACAAAGCAGACAAAACCCCUGCUCACAUGGUGCUUAUUCUAGUGGAGAAAACAGGCAAUAAACGAAUUAAGUGUGCAGGAAACUAUAGAUGCUAUGGAGAAAAAGAAAGCAGGAAACAGGAUAAAGGAACAUGAGGAGGUCAUGAUGUCAAUGCCAAGCGCUCUGGCAAGCCUCGGCGAGGAGGUGGUGUUUGAGCAAAGGAGCAAAUGUUUCAUUGAGGGAGUAAACAUACCGGGAAGGAAAAAGGUUCCAGGCGCAGCUCCUGAGCCUCACCCAGGCGCCCUGACCGGGACUCCCCACCUCCCGGCCCCAACUCACCCUCGGCCAGCGCCAACGCAGCCUCUUUGCCGCCGGCAUCCCGCAGGGCG